rnacentral:lncRNA from 1 species
CUGAGUUUUUGAAUGCUCUGUCAGUACAGCAUGAAACUAUGUCAAAUUUUGGUCUGAUGACUUGCAUUUCUAAAUUUAGGGAUGUUCAUCACUAAAAAGCUAGAUAUCAAGCAAUUAUUUUUUUUUCAAUUCUAGUGACUCAAUGGGAUGAUCUACUACAGAGGAGAAGAGUUGGUACUUAUGCUGAUAGGCAGAAAGAGUGUACAGUGGAAUGCUGGAACCAUGAAAUAAUACAUUUUAAUACUUGAAAGAAGAAGAGGAUUUUUUAAGAAGGCAUAUUACCUCACUUUUGAAUAUCUAGAUGAUGAAUCUAAUUUAAUUGCAAGUAAAAAGAUUGCAUGAAAAAAGAACCCAGGAUAUAAUGGAAGGAUCUAAAACUCAAACUAUUUCCUUGACUCUUGGAAGCAUUCAUAUUAGAAGAAAAAUCUUGACUGAGUUUCAGAAUUUCAAAUGAAGAAAUAUUGAGUUGUAAGGAGUGUACUUAAGAGAAAAAAAAAACGAAUAUCUUCUAGGAAAAUCCUUUACAAUGAAAGGAACUUACA